rnacentral:lncRNA from 1 species
GAACAACACCAAAGUUCACAGACUCCUGUGAUCAGUCAUGCAUCAGUUGUCGCUUAGGUAGCAGCACCAGUGAAAACUAUUGAUGAGCUCACUGAUCUGGAUGGUGCCUGGUAAGGAGAAAAUCAUUGAGCAGCAGACUUUGGCACAGAAUAAUAAUCACAUUUCUGGUCCUUCCAAUGUAUCACUUCAUUUAGAUUCCUCAAAAAAAGAGAGAUCAAUUUUAGUUCAGUCAACUCCAAUGUCGGAUGCAAUGGAAAUUCCCGAUUCUAUAGACAACAACAACUCCAAAGGCAGAUUACACAAUGCAACAGUUCAAGAAAAGGUUUCAAAAUUGCAUCGUAAUGAAACAAGUAUUGCAACAGACACUGCCAACACCAAAAGAAAUGCAGAGGAACUGAUCGAGCAGCAGAUAUUACAAAAUGCUAACAACAACAAGUCUAAGCUGUCAGGUCAAGCAAAUCUUAAUAAACCAACUGCAGUGGUUUAUCAAGAUGUCUCUCGGCAAACUGUUCUUCAAGCCAGAGACAUCAACUUGACAGAGGCAGUAGCUGCAGUUGUCUCACAUUCAGAUGUCGAUAAAGAUUGUGAUAACGACAGUGAAGGAGAGGACACAGACGUCCAGGUUAAGAAAAAGAGUCAAAGAAAGUCAGUGACACUCAUGUGUUCUGCAAAUUCAAAACAAUCAGCAAACACAGUUAGAAACUCGAUCUCUAACAAUACAGUCUCAUAUCCAAUGAUCUCUACAAAUUCAGUCGAGAUCCCAGUUGCUAAUAAAAUUGCAACGCCACUGCCAACAGCUACAAAGAAUCAGAUUAGGAGACCUCCAAUGAGAAAUGCAAAAAGAAAAGAGGUCGCGCAAUUAUCGGUUGCAAGUUCAAUCAAUUGAGUAAUUUAAUAUAAAGGUGGAAGCCUUAUUUCAACCUUAUAUUUACCAUCACAUUAGCAUUAUUUAUGUAAUAUUAUCAUAAUAGGAUGAAGACGGAAAGGUUAGACUGGCUGUUAUAUGGGUAACAAAUCCGGCGAUAUUGACUCCAUUAUUCGUUAUUCACCUAUUUAUGGUAAUUUUGUGUUUGUUUGUUCUGUUUUGUUGUAUUUCUAUUUCUAUUAAUAAAAUCUAACCCUAGGCUUCGCCUAGUGGAUUGCAAAAAAAAAAAAAUUUAGGUAUGCAUGUCCAAGGCGGACCCAACCCCUGUAUUGAGUCCCCAAAAGUCAAAUGAAUGUGAUGCAAACAAGCACUCCAACUAGCGAUCUGGUAUGAGGCUAUGUUAUUCUAGGUUUAAAAUCUGAGCUUAUUUGUUCUAGACCUGGCCCACCCGAGCGGACAGCUCGAGCCGAGGGGGCAGCGCACCGGGAAUACAGAAGCUUCACCGGCUUUACAACUUGUCGGAACCUCGUUCUAAAUUGAGAUAUGACUCUAAUAGAAAAGAAGUCAUAUAAAGUGCAAACUUACCAGAUGAUUUAGAAGACUUGGGGAUAAGAGGGUUUCGUAACAGUUUUUAUAUACAAUUCAAUCAAUAUCAAAGAGGUAAAAACGACAUGUAGCACAUUAGGCUCAAACAUGUAAAAAUCAGAGAAUCAAUAAAAGCCACCAAUAACAGUUAUUCUAAGCUCAAAUUCUAAACCCUGAACCAAAGAUUUUGGGUUCUUUUCCCCAGUAGAGUCGCCAGAGUUGUCACACCUCCUUUUUACACACACCCGAGAGGGUAUAAAGGGAAUUUUUCCAAUUAAAGUGACAUUAACGAAAUGAGAUUAUUUUAUUUAUUUUUCAGAAUCGCCACUUGGGAUAAUUAAUGGUGUCCCAAACCACCAGUUUAUUUUAAGUCCCAAAUCGAGGAAGAUUCGACUUUCCUUUUGAAAUCUGCGAACCAGAAAUUCUAAGGAAGUAAUUCUGUUAACCCGAGAGCAGGUGCUAGGCAUUCUGGGGUUCCGUGAUUCUAACAUGGUUGCUCAAACUAUUAAUAAUUGGCCUAUUAUCUGAUUUAUUACAUGUUUUUGAUCUAUUGUACAUUUUUAGCUUUAUAACCAUUUUUAAUUAUUUUAACUGCCUUUAGGAUUCAUGGGAUUAUUUACUUGAACAAGUUAUGAUUAUUAUGCACUUGUCGUUUUCGAACGCAUUGCAAACCACGUUACAUGAAAUGCACUCCUAAUUUACAACGUGUUUACUUAAUUAUGUGUUCAAAGUUGUUAUAGUCGGGUAACAUGAAAUGCACACUCAAAUUGGAAAAUUAGAUAUCGUAACUAUGUUACGAGAACUGUAUCCAUAGUUACGAUAGUUUAUUUAUUGCGCCUAACGCAUGCUACGAAUGUUCCCAAAAAUUCAAAAAUCCAUGAAAUUCAUAUUAAUACAAAUCCAACGUUGUAUAAAAUUGCAGAAAAAAGUAACUAAAGGACAUAAAUUGUCAUUCCAUUUAUUGAGUGUUCCGACAGUCAGCUCACGUUGAAGCUCCUGCUCGAAUCAGAUAUCCAUGCCCACCUCAAAAUACAGAAAAUUUACUAAAACCUACUUACUACUCUACUAAAAGAAUGCAUCAAGAAUAAUGACAAUAACAUGAUGCCAUCAUUAAGUUUUAUAUUGAUCGAUCAUGGUCUAACAGACUAUUCUUAUUGGAAAAAUUUAUUACUAAAUUCCAAAAUAAAGGAAAGCUCUGUAUCUGAUAUUUCUUGUAGUGCAACAAAGUAUGAGACCUCAAAAAAAACCUUCAUCCUUCAUAAGAAAGAUAAUCGCAUGCAAUGCCACUGGAACCCAACAAAUGAGAAGGUUUCAAUAGAUAGUAUCAUUCAUUCCAUUUCAUUUUUAAUUUAACCCGUGGUCUACAUACUUUAACGUUUCAAGAGCAUAUCCUCCUUGGCCAAACACUUGAAAAUAAAUGUUUCAGUAAUUAUUGCUCUUCAUAAAUCAUUCAUUUCAACUCAAACCAACUAAUAUUUAUCAAUCAAUGUAGCGUGCCAAAAAGAAAUUUAUUCAGUCAGUGUAGUUCAAUCAACUACAUUAGCACAAAUCGGACCAAAUAUAAACAUCACAAUACAUAUUGAAAUUGAGAUUAAAGAGAGAGGUGGACCUUAAUUUGCAUUUAUAUGUAGAAAUUCAAGCAAUUACAGCAACAGAAUAGAGCAAAAUUGAAUGACCAAUGAAUCCGGAACAGUGGAUCUCAACAAAGCUUUUGAAUGGAAACAGUUAACCUAAUCGGAAACUCGAACGGCGAUCAAAGAACCUCCAAACAGCGAAAAACUCGAACCAACUCGCAAUCUUUCGAAAAUCAAACCACAAACAUAGAACCUUUGUUUCGUAUGGGAAAAGAAAACAGAGGUGAUUUGCUUCCUUCUGAACAAAAGUUUCAUGGAGAAAUUGACUUGAGAAGGGGAAAACGUGAUUAAUUGAGAGGUGCUUCUAAACAAAACUCAGGGGAGGGGGAACUCGCGGCUGAUUUUCCAGGGGUGCUGCUGCUAUCCGUUUCUUUUUUUUUAGUAUGUUCAAUGAUUUGAUUUGGAAAAUUGGGGGAAAAGAUGGGAAGUUUUUCUUUUCUUGUGGUUUUUAUAAAAAAAAGAGUCUGAUUGAAGAUCAUGGGAAACGGCAUUGAUGGUGAAGGUGUAAGAGAAAGGGGUCGCUUCUUAUUGAAGAACGACAGAUCUGUUUUCCUAGAGUCC